UAAACACCUGUCUCCUCAUACAGAUUGAGAGCUUGUGAGGCCUGAGAUUUUAUCAUCAUCUUUUCCAGGGUCUGGUGUGCUGCCUGUCCCUGAGGAGAUGCUGGAUGAAUGGAUGGACGCACGAAUGAAGGAAGCUUCAGGGAUCCCCGCCCACCCUUCUGCCUGCACGGGCUCUGGAAGCCACAAGGCCACUUUAUUUGUAUCCAGAAUCCUGCCAGCCAGGUCUCCAUGUUCCAGGUCACAGACCAGAGUACAUUUCUCUAGAGAAUCUGGCCAGCCCAAGAGAAAGACUUAAAGAUAGUGACAUCAGGGCAUCUUCAAGGAAGUGGCCUACUUCUUUCACAAUGAACUUCAUCAAAGAGCCUCAUGCAUGUUCCGGUGCCUUCCAGCAGCCUCUCAGUGCCUCAUUUUAAAUGUCAUCUGAAAACCGAAGACCAUCAGAAGCUUGAGGAAUGUGAUUAACACGAAAAUUAAAGACCAAAGCUAAGAUAGACUUAAAACAAAAGUUAAAGGAAAGAGUAACCAUGCAGGGUAACAGCCCCACCACUAAACAGAAACCGUCAUAAAUAUUCUCUGAGAUAUAAUAGAAGGUAUCAUAUUUAGGGAGAAAAUGUAGGAUACUAUAAAAAUGGAAUAUGCAGGGAAGAAAAAAUAACUCUUAGAAGCUAAAAAUAAGAUAGCAGAAAUAAAAAUACAAUAGAAGUUUCCUCAGAUAAAGUUAAGGAACUCUCCAAGGAGGAAAGCAAAAGACAGAAUGGCAAAUACAAAGGAGAUGGGAAGUCGGGAGAGCCCAGCACAUCCAGUGUAUGAAAGCAAGAACUGCAAGGAAAGAGAAGAGAAAAUGCAGAGGAGGAAAUUAUCAAAGAAAUAAUUCAAGAAAAUUCCCUCAGGCUGACAGAGGCAAAUGUUGAGUUUGAAAAGGCCCAUGGAGUAGCCCACACGGUACUAAAAUCAGACCCUCUCCAGGGCACAUCACCGUGAAAUUUCAGAACAUGGACGACAAAGAAAAGAUUCCGUAAGAUUCUAGGCAGAAAAACAAGGUGAAACAUGAAGAAUCAAGGAGGAGAAUGUCAUCCGAGUUUUCAAAAGCCACCCUAAAAGACAGGAGACAACCAAAAAAUGCCUUUAAAUUCUGAAAAAAAAAUUUAAAACUACAACUCAGAUAUAAUGGUAAGAUAAAUAUAAGGGUAAAAUAAGUAAUUUUUUCUAUAGUUAGUAAUCUU
rnacentral:lncRNA from 1 species